rnacentral:rRNA from 1 species
CCUACGGGAGGCAGCAGUGAGGAAUAUUGGUCAAUGGCCGGAAGGCUGAAGCAGCCAAGCCGCGUGAAGGACGAAGGUGCCAAGCAUUGUAAACUUCUUUUGUCAAGAGACAAAAUCAGGCUCGAGAGCCUGACCGAGGGUACUUGAAGGAAAAGCAUCCGCUAACUCCGUGCCAGCAGCCGCGGUAAUACGGAGGAUGCGAGCGUUAUCCGGAUUUAGUGGGUUUAAAGGGUGCGUAGGCGGACUGUUAAGUCAGCGGUAAAAGCCCGGGGCUCAACCAUGGCGAGACGUUGAAACUGGAUGUUUUGAGAUGUCGAGAGGGAUGCGGAAUGCGCAGGGGAGCGGUGAAAUGCUUAGAUAUU